ACCUACAAUAGACCUGCCCCUGCUGGCUAGAUCAUUUGGAAAGCUUAAUGUAUGUUUGCUUCUCACGGCUCCCAAUGUAAUUAAAUCAAUAUUUUGUAGAUCUCACUAUUGACUUGCUGUGUCUACCUAUUAUGUCCAGUUGAUUAUCUAUUGCUCAAAACGGUUUGAAUUUGGUGCUAAUAACAACACAUCGCUGUCUAAAGAAAUGUGGAUGGACUCUUAUUAACAGCCACAUCCAGCAUAUCAACAUCCAUACAAUAUGCCUAAGGCCUUUCUUUACAAAUAAUAUAAUAGGCUAAGCCAUAAUUAGAGCAGAUCAAAAUUUGUAAGAAAAUGCUUUAAACUUAGAAAACUCAAGGGAAAGUAUCAACAACCAUCACUGUUUUUGCUUUAUUGCAGUCUUUAUAAAGUUUCUGUAUUUUGUAUAUACAUGUCAAUAAGCUAAUGAUAAUAAUAAUAAUAAUUUACUCAACAAAUAAAACUGACUUAUGACUGUGGCCCUAGAUAAAGAGGAUCUGAAAAUAAAAGCCUAAAGAAUUAGCAUGACAAUUAAUAUUAUCGAAGUGCAACUUUUUAGGUUUGAUUUAUCCUGAUUCAUUUUGCUUACUUUGGCUAUGCCACAAUUCACAUGACCUUGGGCAAAUGGAUACUUAGAUUCUCUGAGUCUCGUUUAACUCUAGCAUCUUCCUCCCAGGGUUGUUGUGAGGUUUAAAUGGUUUAAUAAAUAAGUCAAAUACUCAAAACCAAGCCUAGCUCAUUAUAUCACUCUACAAUGAUAGCUAUCAUUAUCAACGUCAUCCCUACCUAAUCCAGUCAAUUUAACUAAAAUAGUUCACAUAGUUAUAUGUAUCCUGGAUAUCCCUAAGGCAUAUUUUGCUAACUCUCAGACUCACUAUUAUUUUUCCUUUCACAUAUGUAAAGAAAGACAUUAAAGACAAGACAAACAGACUUUGUGGCAGUUAACCUGUUCUGUGCCUUUAAAACCUAUACAAGGACUCAAAGGCAUUUCCUUCUAAUGUUAUUCCAUCAUGGCACAAGCAUCAUAAAUGCUAUUAACUGUUUCAUAAGGAAAUGUCCUCCAUGUGAAAGGAUUUGUGUUUCCAAACACAAUACUCAUUAGAAUGCAGGGCCAAUGCCUACUUUGUACAAAUUCAUUUGGUCAACAAAUAAAUUAGAUCUUUAUUAUUUGCUAGAUAUAGCUGUGACGAAGGAUCCAGCUGUUUCUUAUGAGAAUCUAAUGUCGAACUACGAGCUGUCCCUAAGGAUCCAGAUUUCAAUACGGCAGAGUCCUCACCUACAAAGAAUUCAGGGCUUAGUAAAAUAGUCUUAUGUGAAUGACCAGUAGGAAACAGAGUGGUUAGGACAAAGGAGGCAGGGAUGGUUUUUGCUGGGUUUGGGAUUGAAAAAAGGGGAAGAAAAAAAUGUGAAGUUAUAUGUGAUCUGAAUCUCGAAAUACGCUAUUUUGAUUUGCCUGUGCUCUCUUAUAGUCCUUUUCUAUAGGCUUCUAUCAUUUUUAUUAAGUUGUAUUUAAAGUUGAAGUUGAAUAGACAAUUCAACACUGCUUGUCAACUAUGCUUCCUCAAAGAGUCCGUAGAGAAUCUCAGGUUUCUGAAGUCUUUAACUUGACCUGAUAUUUCUAUGUUAGAUCAUAAUGUGACUUGUUUAUUGUAGGCAAACAUUAUAACAAGAAAUUAUUAUUAUUAUUAUUAAUUAUUUGUAAGCACUAAGUACUACGGUUUGUGCUUUGCAUUCAGCAUCCUUUCUUUUAAUCUUUACAACCACCUUAGGAGGAAGGUACUCUUUUUACUUCCAUCUUUUAAAUGAGGAAAUAAAAGCAUAAAGAAGUUAAUUAACUUACCCAGUGUCACACAGCUAUUAAGAGAUGCUCACUAUUUGGAUGUAAGUAUAGGUCAUUCUAAUUCCAGAGCCUCUAACCUAAGCCAUUUAAAACCCCAUCACCUUAUCAAAUACACUGUUUUUAUUUGCCCGUGUUCUCUUAUAAUCCUUUGCCAAAGGCUAACAAAGUAUUUAUAGAAUUGUAUUUAAAAUUUAAGUAUAAUCUUGGAUGCCAUCAGGAAAAUGAAAAGCAUUUUUACAUUUAUGAAGGAAAAACCGCACAUUAUUUCCAAUGUACUUAUUGAGUUAGUUUUAUCUAGACUAUCUAUUAGCAGCUAAGGAUAUGAGGUCAAUCCCUACAGCCUGGGAUUUUACUUGACUGCAGACUCUAACCGGACUGCUAAAAGAACAUUAAUGGGAGCAUAACCUGCACAUCAAGAGCCUGGAGACCUGGCUGGCUUGGUUGCCACAAUUUUAAAAAGACAGUAAUAAAUUAGGGAGCACUUAGAGGUUAAGAAAUAAUGUGGUGGUAAAGAUCUAGAAACAGUGUUAUUCUAGGGCACUUGAAGAUGUUUAGCCCAGGGGAAAAACUUGAAAUGGAACCAAACUGUUGUCAAAUACUUGAAAGAUGGUGGUACACCACAGAGAAUGGCCUAAUUGUGGGUAGCUCCAGAUUUCAAACAAGGAUCAGUGGGCUAAAACCAGAGAGAUGGAGUUCGGGGCUCAGAGAAUGCUCAUCUGAAAUCAAGGGCUGACCAACGAGGUUCUUUUAAAAAUCAUUAUAUUUUACUAAAUUGUGAGUUCUAUCAUAAUAAAUGUCCUAGCAGGUGCUAGCUAUCAUCUUUUCCAUUAUAAAUUAUACUAUUUCAUAGUAUAAUUUAUAUUCUGCAGGCCUAAAACAUAAGGGCCUGAUAAUCUGCUUAUCUUUAAUACAUAAGCCACUGAGAGAAAAAAAAUGGCUAACCAUUCUUCGGUUCUUUUGUUUAACAAAUAAAAAUUAUAUAUAUAUUUGUGGUGUAUGGCAUGUUUAGAAAAUGUAUGCAUUAGGGAAUGCCUAAGUCAAGCAAAUUCACAUAUGCAUUACCUCACACACCUAUCAUUUAUCUGUGAUGAGAACAAAAAAUCUACUCUUUCAGUGAUUUUCAAGAACACAGUACAUUGUUAUUAACAAUAGUCAGCAUGUUGUACAAUAAGUCUCUCGCACUUAUUCUUCCUGUUUAACUGAAAUUUUGUAUUCUUUGACCAACAUCUCCCCAGUCUCCACCACUAGCCCUUGGUAACCACCAUUCUACUCUGCUUCUGUGAGUUCAACUUUAUGAAUAGUCCACAUACUAUAAGCAUCUUGAAGACAAGGACCCCCAUCACAGAGUGAUGCUGUCAUCCCUGGAGUGGACACUGUGCAUGAUUGAUGACUGGAAGCAAUGAACAUAAAGAAGGGCAAAACGGAAAUCAGCAGGAUGCUUUGCAUAUCAACAUUGACUUUGCCAAAUAUGUCCAACUGUUCAGGAAUUAUAUUGGUUCUACCAUAGCUCCUGUGAUUCCUAAGCACAGGAAUGAUGAUAAUAUGUAUAGUGGUGUAUGCAUAUAUAUACAUAUCUAUACAAUGAUAUCUUUUUAGAUGUGAGAACUGGAGAAUUCUGUUAUUUUUCUCAUCUAACCAAGAAGUGCCUACAGCUAUGAUAAUUUCCAAAAACAGAAAUCUGUGCUUUUGAUUUUCAUGCAAAGCUCAUAUUUAUUCAAAAGGAAAAUAAAGUUUAAUUUAAAAUCAA